UUUUAUUUGAGAGUUUGAUCCUGGCUCAGGAUGAACGCUGGCGGCGUGCCUAACACAUGCAAGUUGAGCGAUUUACUUCGGUAAAGAGCGGCGGACGGGUGAGUAACGCGUGGGUAACCUACCCUGUACACACGGAUAACAUACCGAAAGGUAUGCUAAUACGGGAUAAUAUAUUUGAGAGGCAUCUCUUAAAUAUCAAAGGUGAGCCAGUACAGGAUGGACCCGCGUCUGAUUAGCUAGUUGGUAAGGUAACGGCUUACCAAGGCGACGAUCAGUAGCCGACCUGAGAGGGUGAUCGGCCACAUUGGAACUGAGACACGGUCCA
rnacentral:rRNA from 1 species